rnacentral:sRNA from 1 species
GCCAGGUGUGGUGGCGCACGCCUAUAAUCCUGGCUCAGGAGGCUGAGACAGGAGGACUGCAAGUUCAAAGAAGCCUUGGCACCUUAGUGAGGCCCUAAGCAACUCAAUGAGACCCUGUCUCUA